ACGGAAGGCAGCAGUGGGGAAUAUUGCACAAUGGGCGAAAGCCUGAUGCGGCAACGCCGCGUGAGGGAAGACGGUUUUCGGAUUGUAAACCUCUGUCUUUGGUGAAGAAUAAUGACAUUAGCCGAGGAGGAAGCCACGGCUAACUACGUGCCAGCAGCCGCGGUAAUACGUAGGUGGCAAGCGUUAUCCGGAAUUACUGGGUGUAAAGGGAGCGCAGGCGGGAAAGCAAGUCAGCGGUGAAAUGUAUGGGCUCAACCCAUGAACUGCCGUUGAAACUGUUUUUCUUGAGUGGAGUAGAGGCAAGCGGAAUUCCGAGUGUAGCGGUGAAAUGCGUAGAUAUUCGGAGGAACACCAGUGGCGAAGGCGGCUUGCUGGGCUCUAACUGACGCUGAGGCUCGAAAGUGUGGGGAGCAAACAGGAUUAGAUACCCUGGUA
rnacentral:rRNA from 1 species